ACGUAACAUAACACUUACAACGUUACAAUGCAGAUAACAGUCAUGUGCACGCCCUUCUUGUUUGUUGCCUUUGCGCUGUUUAUCGGUUUUUGCCGUCUUCCAUUUUGCCGCCACAUGCAUAUGCACCAUAUGCAUCACAUGCACACGCACCACCACUUCAGAAAUAGGUUCAUUGGAUAAACGGACCUCCAGAACACAGCCGUGUGUUGCGUUAUAUUUUUUAUAUCAUCUGUCUGAAACAAUAUUUUCAAA